rnacentral:rRNA from 1 species
UACGUAGGGUGCAAGCGUUGUCCGGAAUUAUUGGGCGUAAAGAGCUCGUAGGCGGUUCGUCGCGUCGGCUGUGAAAUCCCGAGGCUCAACCUCGGGUCUGCAGUCGAUACGGGCGGACUGGAGUUCGGCAGGGGAGACUGGAAUUCCUGGUGUAGCGGUGGAAUGCGCAGAUAUCAGGAGGAACACCGGUGGCGAAGGCGGGUCUCUGGGCCGAUACUGACGCUGAGAAGCGAAAGCGUGGGGAGCGAACAGG